rnacentral:rRNA from 1 species
GAUGAACGCUGGCGGCGUGCCUAAUACAUGCAAGUCGAGCGAACGGACGAGAAGCUUGCUUCUCUGAUGUUAGCGGCGGACGGGUGAGUAACACGUGGAUAACCUACCUAUAAGACUGGGAUAACUUCGGGAAACCGGAGCUAAUACCGGAUGAUAUUUUGAACCGCAUGGUUCAAAAGUGAAAGACGGUCUUGCUGUCACUUAUAGAUGGAUCCGCGCUGCAUUAGCUAGUUGGUAAGGUAACGGCUUACCAAGGCAACGAUGCAUAGCCGACCUGAGAGGGUGAUCGGCCACACUGGAACUGAGACACGGUCCAGACUCCUACGGGAGGCAGCAGUAGGGAAUCUUCCGCAAUGGGCGAAAGCCUGACGGAGCAACGCCGCGUGAGUGAUGAAGGUCUUCGGAUCGUAAAACUCUGUUAUUAGGGAAAAACAUAUGUGUAAGUAACUGUGCACAUCUUGACGGUACCUAAUCAGAAAGCCACGGCUAACUACGUG